AAGUAGGACAGAAACAGGAUCUCUUGCCAUUGGGUGUGAUUCGACUCUACCCCUCAAAAUGAAUCUGGAGAUUCUACAGCA
rnacentral:snoRNA from 1 species